UUUGGUCCUCGGUAGUGGCUGCCGGGAAGAAUGCCCGUUGGCCUCGAUCGAAGACCGGC
rfam:Propionimicrobium lymphophilum ACS-093-V-SCH5 genomic scaffold aczIt-supercont-complete, whole genome shotgun sequence.